rnacentral:lncRNA from 1 species
GGGGAAUGGGGGAGGGGAUUACAAUGUAGGGAACUGAACCCUCACCAACAAGGUAGAAGUUCAGGUAACUAACCAACUAAGCUACUAAGAUUCUCCAAACACCUUAAGAUCAACCUAAAUGUCAAUGCACCCAAUCGACUUUUUAAAAUAUUGUGUGACUCAAAGAUUGAUCCUUGAUCAUGUGGAUGGAAGCGAUGGCUUAAACCAGUUCACCUAGGUUCAGUGAAUGGUUUUUAUUAUUAAAAACCUCAGGAAGGCGAGGCAAAAAUCAAACGUGUAAAUUUUAUUAUAUAUCAUUUGUCUGAUAUAUUUUUCUUUUUUUG